GACGAACGCUGGCGGCGUGCUUAACACAUGCAAGUCGAACGGUGAAAGCGGAGCUUGCUCCGCUGGAUCAGUGGCGAACGGGUGAGUAACACGUGGGCAACCUGCCCCUCACUUCGGGAUAACUCCGGGAAACCGGGGCUAAUACCGGAUAUGACCUCCUUGGGCAUCCUUGGAGGUGGAAAGUUUUUCGGUGAGGGAUGGGCCCGCGGCCUAUCGGGUUGGUGGUGAGGGAGUGGCUAACCAAGGCGACGCCGGGUAGCAGGCCUGGGAGGGCGAACGGCCAGACGGGGCCUGGGACACGGCCCAGACUCGUACGGGAGGCAGCAGUGGGGAAGAUUGCGCAAUGGGCGAACGCCUGACGCAGCAGCGCCGCGUGCGGGAUGACGGCCUUCGGGUUGUAAACCGCUUUCAGCAGGGAAGAAGCCGCAAGGUGACGGUACCUGCAGAAGAAGCACCGGCUAACUACGUGCCAGCCGCCGCAGUAA
rnacentral:rRNA from 1 species